rnacentral:rRNA from 1 species
AACGCAGCGAAGGGCGAUAAGUAAUGUGAAUUGCAGAAUUCAGUGAAUCAUCGAAUCUUUGAACGCACCUUGCGCUCCUUGGUAUUCCGAGGAGCAUGCCUGUUUGAGUGUCAUUAAUAUAUCAACUUCUUCAACUUUUGCUUGUCGAGUGUUGGAUGGUGGGGGUUCUUUUUUUGCCGGGUCUCUUUCAAUUGAGGUCGGCUCCCCUGAAAUGCAUUAGUGGAACAAUUUGUUGACCGUUCAUUGGUGUGAUAAACUAUCUACGCUAUUGACGUGAGCCAGUUCAGCUUCUAACAAUCCAUUGACUUGGAUAAAUUUUUAUUAAUGUGACCUCAAAUCAGGUAGGACUACCCGCUGAACUUAA